UGGGACAGAUAAUGCUAAAAUGAGUAAUAAGAGAGUAAAAGACUCUCUCCAAGCGCAAGUGUAAGUCAGACCGGACAAACCACUGACAAAAAACGAGCCCAUGUAACAAGAGGGAAGAGAAGAAAAGAAAGACUAACAAGAAAAACCUACUAAAAACAAAGACCCGUUAUUCCGACACAGGAGCGCAAAACAAGGAAAGACUAAAAGAAAAGGAAGGAACUCGGCAAACAAAAAUCUCGCCUGUUUACCAAAAACAUCGCCUCUAGCAAAUAAACAUGUAUUAGAGGUCCCGCCUGCCCAGUGACUAUAGGUUCAACGGCCGCGGUAUUAUGACUGCGCUAAGGUAGCGUAAUCACUUGUCUUUUAAAUAAAGACCAGUAUGAAUGGCACCACGAAGAUUUAGCUGUCUCCCUACUCCAGUCAAUGAAAUUGAUCUAUCCGUGCAGAAGCGGAUAUAAAAACAUAAGACGAGAAGACCCUAUGGAGCUUUAGGAUUUAGGCAAACAUGUCAAGAAGCUAUAAACACAACAAAACAGCUUUAAACUUAAUGAAACAUGACCCAAUUCCUUAGGUUGGGGCGACCCUGAGGCAAAAAAUAGCCCUCACAUGGAAAUAAAGGAAUGUAUUAUUUGAGACCUUUACACCCACGAGUAACAACUCUAAGAAGCAGAAUGUCUGACCAGAACUGACCCAGGACUAAUUAACCUGAUUAUUGAACCAAGUUACCCUAGGGAUAACAGCGCAAUCUUCUCUUAGAGUUCAUAUCGACGAGAAGGCUUACGACCUCGAUGUUGGAUCAGGACAUCCUAAUGGUGCAACCGCUAUUAAGGGUUCGUUUGUUCAACGAUUAAAGUCCUACGUGAUCUGAGUUCAGACCGGAGAAAUCCAGGUCGGUUUCUAUCUAUGAAGCGACUCUUUCCCAGUACGAAAGGGCCGGAAAGAGUGGGCCAAUACUACAAGCAAGCCCCACCCUAAAUCUCUGAAUAAAUAUAAAAAGA
rnacentral:rRNA from 1 species